rnacentral:piRNA from 1 species
UGUGCUUCAUGAUGUGUCCGUCUUC